rnacentral:rRNA from 1 species
UACAGAGGGUGCAAGCGUUGUUCGGAAUUAUUGGGCGUAAAGCGCGUGUAGGCGGCGUGACAAGUCGGGUGUGAAAGCCCUCAGCUCAACUGAGGAAGUGCGCCCGAAACUGUCGUGCUUGAGUGCUGGAGAGGGUGGCGGAAUUCCCCAAGUAGAGGUGAAAUUCGUAGAUAUGGGGAGGAACACCGGUGGCGAAGGCGGCCACCUGGACGGUAACUGACGCUGAGACGCGAAAGCGUGGGGAGCAAACAGG